GUGUCAGCAGCCGCGGUAAUACGUAGGGGGCGAGCGUUGUCCGGAUUCAUUGGGCGUAAAGAGCUCGUAGGCGGCUCCGUCAGUCGGGUGUGAAACCUCCAGGCUCAACCUGGAGCUGCCACCCGAUACUGCGGUGGCUUGAGUCCGGUAGGGGGCCACGGAAUUCCUGGUGUAGCGGUGAAAUGCGCAGAUAUCAGGAGGAACACCGAUGGCGAAGGCAGUGGCCUGGGCCGGUACUGACGCUGAGGAGCGAAAGCGUGGGGAGCGAACAGGAUUAGAUACCCCCGUAGUCC
rnacentral:rRNA from 1 species